rnacentral:rRNA from 1 species
UGGGGAAUAUUAGGCAAUGGGGGCAACCCUGACCUAGCAACGCCGCGUGAAGGAAGAAGGCCUUCGGGUUGUAAACUUCUUUUAUGAAGGACGAAGAAAUGACGGUACUUCAUGAAUAAGCCACGGCUAACUACGUGCCAGCAGCCGCGGUAAUACGUAGGUGGCAAGCGUUGUCCGGAUUUACUGGGUGUAAAGGGCGCGUAGGCGGGAUGGCAAGUCAGAUGUGAAAUCCAUGGGCUCAACCCGUGAACUGCAUUUGAAACUGUCGUUCUUGAGUGUCGGAGAGGCAAGCGGAAUUCCUAGUGUAGCGGUGAAAUGCGUAGAUAUUAGGAGGAACACCAGUGGCGAAGGCGGCUUGCUGGACGAUAACUGACGCUGAGGCGCGAAAGCGUGGGGAGCAAACAGG